AAACUCAAAUGAAUUGACGGGGCCCGCACAAGCAGCGGAGCGUGUGGUUUAAUUCGAUGCUACACGAAGAACCUUACCAGGGUUUGACAUGUUAGUUGUAGGGAACUGAAAAGGGACCGACCCUUCGGGGAGCUAACACAGGUGCUGCAUGGCUGUCGUCAGCUCGUGUCGUGAGAUGUUCGGUUAAGUCCGCUAACGAGCGCAACCCUCGCCGUGUGUUAUAAGUGUCACGCGGGACCGCCGGUCUUAAGCCGGAGGAAGGUGGGGAUGACGUCAAGUCAGCAUGGCCUUUAUGUCCUGGGCUACACACACGCUACAAUGGCCAGUACAAUUGGUAGCGAAGUCGCGAGGCGGAGCCAAUCCGUAAAAGCUGGCCUCAGUUCAGAUUGCAGGCUGCAACCCGCCUGCAUGAAGAUGGAGUUGCUAGUAACCGCAGGUCAGCAAUACUGCGGUCGAAUACGUUCCCGGGCCUU
rnacentral:rRNA from 1 species